UGAACGCUGGCGGCAGGCCUAACACAUGCAAGUCGAGCGGUAGCACAGAGAGCUUGCUCUCGGGUGACGAGCGGCGGACGGGUGAGUAAUGUCUGGGAAACUGCCUGAUGGAGGGGGAUAACUACUGGAAACGGUAGCUAAUACCGCAUAACGUCGCAAGACCAAAGUGGGGGACCUUCGGGCCUCUUGCCAUCAGAUGUGCCCAGAUGGGAUUAGCUAGUAGGUGGGGUAAUGGCUCACCUAGGCGACGAUCCCUAGCUGGUCUGAGAGGAUGACCAGCCACACUGGAACUGAGACACGGUCCAGACUCCUACGGGAGGCAGCAGUGGGGAAUAUUGCACAAUGGGCGCAAGCCUGAUGCAGCCAUGCCGCGUGUAUGAAGAAGGCCUUCGGGUUGUAAAGUACUUUCAGCGAGGAGGAAGGCGUUAAGGUUAAUAACCUUGGCGAUUGACGUUACUCGCAGAAGAAGCACCGGCUAACUCCGUGCCAGCAGCCGCGGUAAUACGGAGGGUGCAAGCGUUAAUCGGAAUUACUGGGCGUAAAGCGCACGCAGGCGGUCUGUCAAGUCGGAUGUGAAAUCCCCGGGCUCAACCUGGGAACUGCAUUCGAAACUGGCAGGCUAGAGUCUUGUAGAGGGGGUAGAAUUCCAGUGUAGCGGUGAAAUGCGUAGAGAUCUGGAGAAUACCGGUG
rnacentral:rRNA from 1 species